rnacentral:rRNA from 1 species
CAGUAGCCACGGUAAUACGAAGGGUGCAAGCGUUAAUCGGAAUUACUGGGCGUAAAGCGUGCGUAGGCGGUGAGUUAAGUCUGCUGUGAAAUCCCCGGGCUCAACCUGGGAAUGGCAGUGGAUACUGGCUCGCUAGAGUGUGUCAGAGGAUGGUGGAAUUCCCGGUGUAGCGGUGAAAUGCGUAGAGAUCGGGAGGAACAUCAGUGGCGAAGGCGGCCAUCUGGGACAACACUGACGCUGAGGCACGAAAGCGUGGGGAGUAAACAGGAUUAGAUACCCCCGUAGUCCCUGUCUCUUAUAC